CAAUUCCGGUUCAACCCAGCAGCUUAGGCAUAAUGGGUUCCCCUCAAAUCGCGUUCUAGUCUUUGUGCAAGCUACAAUCUAGUGAAGCUUCAUUUGUGAUUAAAGUGUUUGGCUAUGGUGUCACUUUGUUGUGAAGGAUUAGUCUGCAGGAGGUGGGGCGGCAUGUCGCACAGAAUGUGCGCUCGAUGAUCAUUCCUGAGAAGAAUGUGACAAUCUUCAUUUAUGAUCGUCCAGGAGAUGAGGACGUGUUAAUGCAAGCCACUCAUAUCAUUUUCCUUUUGAGAUUGGUCUUCCGGAGCCUUUCCAAGAGUUUUCGUCAUGCUGUUGAUCUCCAUGGAUGGUUUUGGUGUUUGGUUAGUUAUUCAGUUAGUUAAUUUUGUUGUUUGUUUUGUUUUUCCAAUGAUCAUGAACUGAGACUAUGGAUAUGCUCAGUGGUGGUACUUAAAGUAAGUGGAGGUGUCUGUUGUCCACGUUUUCAUGAGUUUAUUUUUACUGCGCCUUACUCAUGAGUCAACAUGAACAUCUUGUGCUCGUCAACAAUGGACAGCCUUUAAUGUAAAUGAAUUCUAGUUCCAAGCGUAUUACAGAA